UACGAGGGGGGCGAGCGUUGUUCGGAAUUAUUGGGCGUAAAGGGCGCGUAGGCGGUCGGAUAAGUCUUGUGUGAAAUCUUCGGGCUCAACUCGAAGUCUGCACAGGAAACUAUCUGGCUUGAGUGUGGGAGAGGUGAGUGGAAUUCCUGGUGUAGCGGUGAAAUGCGUAGAUAUCAGGAGGAACACCUGUGGCGAAGGCGGCCUUCUGGACCAGCACUGACACUCAAGCACGAAAGCGUGGGGAGCAAACAGG
rnacentral:rRNA from 1 species